rnacentral:rRNA from 1 species
UACGUAGGCAGCGAGCGUUGUUCGGAGUUACUGGGCGUAAAGGGCGCGCAGGCGGCUCAUUUUGUCAGGCGUGAAAGCCCCGGGCUUAACCUGGGAAUGGCGAUGGUGACUGCAAGGCUAGAGUUUGGCAGAGGGGGGUAGAAUUCCACGUGUAGCAGUGAAAUGCGUAGAGAUCCGGAAGAACACCGGUGGCGAAGGCGGUUGGCUGGGCAGGUGCUGACACUGAGGCGCGACAGCGUGGGGAGCAAACAGG